GAUGAACGCUGGCGGCGUGCUUAACACAUGCAAGUCGAACGGGAAACCUUUUAUUGCAGCUUCGGCAGAUUUAGCUGGUUUCUAGUGGCGGACGGGUGAGUAACGCGUGGGUAACCUGCCUUAUACAGGGGGAUAACAGUCACAAAUGGCUGCUAAUACCGCAUAAGCGCACAGAGCUGCAUGGCUCAGUGUGAAAAACUCCGGUGGUAUAAGAUGGACCCGCGUUGGAUUAGCUGGUUGGUGGGGUAACGGCCCACCAAGGCGACGAUCCAUAGCCGGCCUGAGAGGGUGAACGGCCACAUUGGGACUGAGACACGGCCCAGACUCCUACGGGAGGCAGCAGUGGGGAAUAUUGCACAAUGGGGGAAACCCUGAUGCAGCGACGCCGCGUGAAGGAAGAAGUAUCUCGGUAUGUAAACUUCUAUCAGCAGGGAAGAUAAUGACGGUACCUGACGAAGAAGCCCCGGCUAACUACGUG
rnacentral:rRNA from 1 species